rnacentral:rRNA from 1 species
AUGGCGACCGGCGCACGGGUGAGUAACACGUAUCCAACCUGCCGAUAGCUCGGGGAUAGCCUUUCGAAAGAAAGAUUAAUACCCGAUGGUAUAAUCAGACCGCAUGGUCUUGUUAUUAAAGAAUUUCGGUUAUCGAUGGGGAUGCGUUCCAUUAGGCAGUUGGUGAGGUAACGGCUCACCAAACCUUCGAUGGAUAGGGGUUCUGAGAGGAAGGUCCCCCACAUUGGUACUGAGACACGGACCAA